UCUGUAGGCGGUGCGGCAAGUCGGGAGUGAAAUCCCUGGGCUUAACUCAGGGGCUGCUUCCGAAACUGCCGUGCUGGAGUGCGGGAGAGGUGAGUGGAAUUGCAGGUGUAGCGGUGAAAUGCGUAGAUAUCUGCAGGAACACCAGAGGCGAAGGCGGCUCACUGGACCGCAACUGACGCUGAGAGACGAAAGCUAGGGGAGCAAACAGGAUUAGAUACCCUGGUAGUCCUAGCCCUAAACGAUCAGGACUUGGCGUGGGCCCCGUACGGGGCUCGUGUCGGAGCUAACGUGUUAAGUCCUGCGCCUGGGGAGUACGGUCGCAAGGCUAGAA
rnacentral:rRNA from 1 species